rnacentral:ncRNA from 1 species
CUUAUCCAGAGUGGUGGAGGGAUCUGGCCCUAUGAAACCCGGCAACCUACAAGCUGAUGCAAGGUGCUAACUCCAGCAAAAUGAAUAAUUCAUUUUGAAAGAUAAGG